rnacentral:rRNA from 1 species
GUGCCAGCCGCCGCGGUAAGACGUAGGAGGCGAGCGUUAUCCGGAUUCACUGGGCGUAAAGCGCAUGUAGGCGGUUUGUUAAGUCCGGUGUUAAAGCCCCUGGCUCAACUGGGGGAGGUCAUUGGAGACUAACAGACUUGAGGGCAACAGAGGCACGUGGAACUCCCGGUGUAGCGGUGGAAUGCGUAGAGAUCGGGAAGAACACCAGUGGCGAAGGCGACGUGCUGGGUUGCAACUGACGCUGAGAUGCGAAAGUGUGGGGAGCAAACGGGAUUAGAAACCCGCGUAGUCC